rnacentral:rRNA from 1 species
CGCGAAGAACCUUACCAGGUCUUGACAUCCUUUGACCACUCUAGAGAUAGAGCUUCCCCUUCGGGGGCAAAGUGACAGGUGGUGCAUGGUUGUCGUCAGCUCGUGUCGUGAGAUGUUGGGUUAAGUCCCGCAACGAGCGCAACCCUUAUUGUUAGUUGCCAUCAUUCAGUUGGGCACUCUAGCAAGACUGCCGGUGACAAACCGGAGGAAGGUGGGGAUGACGUCAAAUCAUCAUGCCCCUUAUGAUUUGGGCUACACACGUGCUACAAUGGAUGGUACAAAGGGCAGCAAAACCGCGAGGUCAAGCAAAUCCCAUAAAACCAUUCUCAGUUCGGAUUGUAGUCUGCAACUCGACUACAUGAAGCUGGAAUCGCUAGUAAUCGUAGAUCAGCAUGCUACGGUGAGUACGUUCCCGGGUCUUGUAC